GAAUUUUGGAGAGAGUUGGUCACCGUGUGGAGCAGGUUGGAGGUGAGUAGCACCGACAGGGAAAAAUUGACCACCGAGUAGCAUUUCCUCCUUUUAAUUCCUAAGCCUUCUAAACAGAGAGAUAAGUGAGUAGUGAAGGGAGAAAUCGGUUGGCAAUUCCAACUGACUGACUGCAAUUGAGAAAAAGAAGGAAAAGCUGGUGCGAGAGCUAAAGGAACUGAGGCUGAGACUAGGAGCAGGCUGCGACCAUAAAACUUGAAGGAAAAGGAACUACUAGUGGGCGUGAAAGCAAUCUCGAGACCGAAGUGCAACUUGUUUGACUAAUUGUGAAACAAAUCAGAUUCAAAGAUCAAGUGCAAUUGAAAG